CGGGCGCAAUAGGUAAACGAAACAAACAAUGUCGAAUCAUCAACCCACAGUUCUUACAGAAAAUGUUACAACCCCGUGGUGCAGCGCAAUCUCGACAGUGCCGAGGACUUGAUCAUCCCGGACGUUUAAUGUGAUCCCGCGGAAUGUUAUUCCACUUGUCUCGCAAAGCAAACUCAAGCUGACUUUAUGAUAUUGGUGGUGGUUUUC
rnacentral:lncRNA from 1 species